CCCUUGUGGAGGAGGACGCCGAAGGUGGGGCUAAUGACUGGGGUGAAGUCGUAACAAGGUAGCCGUACCGGAAGGUGCGGCUGGAUCACCUCCUAACAGGGAGACAACAAAAUGUUAAAUAUUAAUUUUGUCACCUUAGGUCGAUCGGUAUCUCACAUUCUUAAUUUAUUUAAGGAUUUCAUUUCCUAAGUUUUUUCUAGGUCACACCCAUUACUUUUCCCUGGGCCAUUAGCUCAGGUGGUUAGAGCGCACCCCUGAUAAGGGUGAGGUCCCUGGUUCAAGUCCAGGAUGGCCCAUAUCUCUAUGUUGGGGGUAUAGCUCAGUUGGUAGAGCGCCUGCUUUGCAAGCAGGAUGUCAGCGGUUCGAGUCCGCUUACCUCCACUGAUCACCACCUCUUCCAUAAUUUAUAGAAGGGAAAUGUUUGGAGUUGUGAUCAAAUUCUGAACGAAUCUAGCUUCCUAAUCAAACUUAUUAAGAUGCUGGACUCAUUGAAUUAAUUUCAUUGUUUUCAGAGAACCUUGACAACUGCAUAGAUUAUUUUUAAAGACAAUAAGCAUCUUUAAUGAUGCAGAUUUAUUAUUUGUGCGAAUGCAUUAAUAACAAUUCUAUUAAGCUGAUGCUUCAAUUUUUGAAGUUAUUGGUCAAGCUACAAAGGGCUCACGGAGGAUACCUAGGCACACAGAGGCGAU
rnacentral:misc_RNA from 1 species